UGAGUUUGAUUCUGGCUCAGAACGAACGCUGGCGGCAUGCUUCAGACAUGCAAGUCGAACGAGAUCUUCGGAUCUAGUGGCGCACGGGUGAGUAACGCGUGGGAACCUACCUUUCAGUUCGGGAUAACAGUUGGAAACGACUGCUAAUACCGUAUACGCCCUCCGGGGAAAGGUCAGCCGCUGAAAGAGGGGCCCGCGUCUGAUUAGCUUGUUGGUAGGGUAAAAGCCUACCAAGGCUUCGAUCAGUAGCUGGUCUGAGAGGAUGAUCAGCCACACUGGGACUGAGACACGGCCCAGACUCCUACGGGAGGCAGCAGUCGGGAAUAUUGGACAAUGGAGGAAACUCUGAUCCAGCAAUGCCGCGUGUGUGAUGAAGGCCUUAGGGUUGUAAAGCACUUUCAACGGUAAAGAUGAUGACGGUAGCCGUAGAAGAAGCCCCGGCUAACUUCGUGCCAGCAGCCGCGGUAAUACGAAGGGGGCGAGCGUUGUUCGGAAUUAUUGGGCGUAAAGGGCGCGCAGGCGGUUUGGAUAGUUAGACGUGAAAGCCC
rnacentral:rRNA from 1 species